UAAUUUGGACUCAGAAAUAACGUUGGUAGUAUAUUAAUUUUCUGUUGUUAUAAUGUUAUCGUUUUAUAUUGUGCGCAACGCUCAUCGCGACAGCCAUGAUGUACAGGAUUAUCCUACAUACGAUGCGUGAGUGCGUAUACACGUGUGUCAAUCGAGGAGUGCGGAGUGCUCUUUAUUUACAGCAUAAUUAUAUAUAAGUAUAGCUGGUGAUGUAGGAUUCAUUUUCCGAUUUACAAGAGAGAUUUACAAAAGAGAGGAAAUAUCAAUUAAUUUUUUUACGUUCUAUAAUAGAUUUGUCCUUGGACAUUAAAAAUAUCAUCAAGGGCAAUGAAUAUGUCUUAACAUAUGGGAUCAAUUGUUGUAUCAAAUUCAAAAAACCACCAUUUGAAAAAUUUGACCCUGGCUAAGAUAAACAUCAGUGAACAAUAUAUUAUAAGGAAAACUCUGUACAAGAUACUAGAAAUGCUAAAAGAUGACCAAGAAGCUUUUACACAAGUCAGGCUAUUAGACAACAAUCCCUUGUAAUACAGAGAAAGACUUGGAACACUCUAUAAUGGAGUAGCUUAGAUUUGCAAACAUCCGUAAACAAAGGAAAAAAUCUUAAAAGCAACUGUUUGGUAAAGAUCCGAAAAGAUUAAUAAUCUGUUUAAAAGGAAAGAAUAAGAGUUUGGAAAAAAAUAGUAAAAGAGUUAUAUUAAACUAGAGCACCUGUAUCGCAUUGCCUAAAAAAGAAUUAGAAGGCACCUUAAUUUCCCUUAUCCGAAGGUUGACUUCAAUAAUCCCUUCCUAGGAUCCCUUCCUAGAAUUAAUACUUUCUAAGAUAAUUGGCAGAGAUAAUUUGCAGAAAUAAUUGGCACACGAAAUAAAUCUCAUAAUAAAACCUAUAUAUGUAUAUGUAUAUGUAUAUAUUUGU